UUUGAUGCAAAGAAGCAAUCACAAAAAUGAUGAGUCAGAUCCCCAGGCAUCAUGAGAGAGGAAUGAACUGCAGUUGCAUCUGGGAUGAGAGAUACUCCAGAAGCUCAGGAAGGGAUCAGCUGAGUUUUGAAGGGAUCAACUGAGUUUGAAGUGAAUGGUAGAGAGCAGGAUGUGGAAGAAAGAGAAAGUUUUUGCACAAAAGAAGGGGACUUUAUUGCAAGAAGCCUGGCAGAGAAAUCGAGUGGGAUUCAGUGGACAUGUAAACCAGAAAAGCAAGAUGAGCAAUGCCUUUCCCAGCCUCAUGUUUUCCCUCCCCCAAUGGGGCUUUGGGAGGUUGCUGCUGCAUUGGUGGAGAAUGACUGAAACGAGCAUUCACAGCAGCAAAAGUCAGCUUUGAAAAUUUUCCCAGCAGAAUAAGUGGUGCCUGUAUUAGAAGAAUAAACUGCCACAUUCCAGUCCAUUCCAAGAGGGAAAAGGAGCCUUAUGCUGCCUCUACCUAUCCAUCUGAAAAUUCACCUUCAUAUGCAUAUUCCAUGGCUGGAUGAAGAACACCUUGGCACAGGUAUACGUCAUACACGUGUCUAAUGCAAUUUGCUGCAAUAUAUUUAUCACAUUAUGGAAGAGUGUUAUCUUCAUCAAUUACAAGCAAAAAAAGGCUCCUAGAAUUAAUAAGGGGAUAAAAGCUAAAUUUGUAUUUCAGUGGACUCUUGAAGGCUUAUCUCCAUGGGAAAGCUGUAUGUAAAUCUGCAGUGUUUCAUCUGGCUUAUGUUAAGUCCUACGUUUGGAUUUCAAUUCUAUGGGGAGAAGCUGCAGCCCUGAGGGCAGCUGUAGAAAGUCCAGGUGCUGUGCUACUGCUGAUCCCUCCUGCUCCUAAGCCAGAGCCCUGCACCAUCUCUCAGUUCUUUCAUCUGUGGAAGGAGGUAAGAGGAUUGCUGUACCUCAAAGACGUGAAGUUCAGAUAAUUACAAGUGUGAGACACUGAAAUAUUACACAAGUAAAAAUACCUCAGAUGAAGAAUCGUUGCUCUUUCAAGGCUAAUGUGAUUUUCUCCAGGUUGUCCUGUUCAGUGAAUUCUAAAGGGCAGGGAUAUGGUUUCCUUAAACUCUGUGGAAUGAUGCUGGAUUUCUAUUUGUUGGCUUUUAUUUUCUAUGACAGUCCAUAGGGUUUUUCCUCAAGGGAUUAAAGUGCCUUUAUAGACCUUGCUCCCCACAUCCUUCUUCUUCUUCUUCCCUUUUCUUCUCUUCUGAACUUAGAUAUACACUUCAUUCUGACAAGUUGCAGAAAAAAAUCUAUCUGAUCUGUUACCAGUUUUAUGUAAUUUAAAAUGCAGGGUUACACUGGACUAUUUUCAGUGGAGAAAAAAAGAGAUUAAUCAUCCUGAGGUGGAUGCAAUCCCUUCAAGAUCUUGAGUCCUAAACUGACAAGUUACUGUGGGCAACCUGAACCACUUGGCUCCCAAAUCCUUCUCAAUCAUAAUUUAUAACAAAGAAGGAUAUUCCUUAGGUUAAAUGUUUUGGCUUCUUCUCAUCUUUUGUGCCACUUUUCUGAAAUAUUUUUUGGGUAUGAAUUGGUACUGCACAUCAAAUUUCUCUUUUGCAUUCAAUGAGGGCCCAGUCAUUCUAACAAACUUCAAAAGGGAUUUCAUAUUCUAUAAAAUACUUCAUAUUUCUUUUUAUCAAAGUCUGAUUUUUUUCCCAGGGUUGUACCAGCUCACACUACCUACCAAGUCUGUCUGUCUGCAUCACUUUCACGUGUUUGUGAAUUGCUAAUGAAGCUACCUGGGCCUCAAAGCUUGCAAAGGGUUCCCUUUGACUGGGUUUGUACAACCUGAAUUAAUUCUCCUCUAGAAAUGCACUUCUCCUUUUGCCCAUUGCUUAAAAUGAAAGGAUUCCCUUGUUGUGAGGGUGAGCUCUUAGAAGCCCAGCAACAACAUUGUCAACCAAAGGUUAUCAGUUUUGCUUUACAAAUUACUGAGAGGGAACCAGAAGAUGAAAAAUCCAGGGAGAUGUUCUCAGCCCAUUUUUGCUCUGCUGUAGCUGAGAAACCUUGACCACUUCUGCUUAUAAUGUAACAUCCCAUAACUUCCAUACCUGAUUGCAAAAUAGCUGAAAACCCCAAAUGUGAAACUUUACUUACAAACCACUGUUUUUUCUGCAAUGGUGGUGCAGUGAUGCAUCUUGCCUUUCUGCUUAUCCAGGUUAGCUAUAGAUCCAGUAAACAUAUAUUGCUCCAAAGGACUGACAAGAGGUGUCCUCCAUUCUAAAACUGUUAGCAGAUAUUUCUUCCUAGUGAAAAGCAGUUAAAUGUUCACUAAUAUCCUAAAA